AACGAACGCUGGCGGCAUGCCUAACACAUGCAAGUCGAACGAUGCUUUCGGGCAUAGUGGCGCACGGGUGCGUAACGCGUGGGAAUCUGCCCUUGUGUUCGGAAUAACAGUGAGAAAUUGCUGCUAAUACCGGAUGAUGUCUUCGGACCAAAGAUUUAUCGCCCAGGGAUGAGCCCGCGUAGGAUUAGCUAGUUGGUGGGGUAAUGGCCUACCAAGGCGACGAUCCUUAGCUGGUCUGAGAGGAUGAUCAGCCACACUGGGACUGAGACACGGCCCAGACGCGUACGGGAGGGAGCAGUGGGGAAUAUUAGACAAUGGGCGGAAGGAUGAUCAAGCAAUGACGCGUGAGUGAUGAAGGCCUUAGGGUUGUAAAGCUCUUUUAAACGGGAUGAUAAUGACAGUACCGGGAGAAUAAGCACCGGCUAACUACGUG
rnacentral:rRNA from 1 species